rnacentral:lncRNA from 1 species
GAUAAUAGGGUUAAUUACACCGUUAGUCCCCAAUCUUUCCACCAAUUUUCACUUGGGUUCUCAACUUUUUUUUUUACAAUUGAGUCCUUAAUCUCUUGAUUUUAUUACAAUUAGGUCCCAACCGUUAAAAAAACGGUUAAAAUUAACGGAAUCGCCACGUCAACGCUUAUUUGGCACACUUUUGCAUGUUAAUUUAGGUCCCUAAAUUUUGCACAUUUUUCACUUUAAUCUGUAAAAAUAAAAAUUCAAAAUUUUAAAUUUAAAAUAAAAAAAUAAUAUUAAAAUUAAAAUUUUAAACUAACGAGAAAUUAGAAUUUAAAACUAAUUAAAAU